rnacentral:rRNA from 1 species
UAGAUGACUAGAGUACGAAAGAGGGAAGUAGAAUUCACAGUGUAGCGGUGGAAUGCGUAGAUAUUGUGAAGAAUACCAAUGGCGAAGGCAGCUUCCUGGUUCUGUACUGACACUGAGGUGCGAAAGCGUGGGUAGCGAACAGGAUUAGAUACCCUGGUAGUCCACGCCGUAAACGAUGACAACUAGCUGUUGGGAGACAAGAUCUCUCAGUGGCGCAGCUAACGCUUUAAGUUGUCCGCCUGGGGAGUACGGCCGCAAGGUUAAAACUCAAAUGAAUUGACGGGGACCCGCACAAGCGGUGGAGCAUGUGGUUUAAUUCGAUGCAACGCGAAAAACCUUACCUACUCUUGACAUACUUGGAAGCUCUUGUAAUGAGAGUGUGCUUUUAGAGCCAAGAUACAGGUGCUGCAUGGCUGUCGUCAGCUCGUGUCGUGAGAUGUUGGGUUAAGUCCCAUAACGAGCGCAACCCUUACCCUUAUUUGCCAGCGGUUCGGCCGGGAACUAUAAGGGGACUGCCGGUGACAAACCGGAGGAAGGUGAGGACGACGUCAAGUCAUCAUGGCCCUUACGAGUAGGGCUACACACGUGCUACAAUGGGGAAUACAGACGGACGCUAAAGCGUGAGCUGGUGCCAAUCCUAAAAAAUUUCUCGUAGUCCGGAUUGCAGUCUGCAACUCGACUGCAUGAAGUCGGAAUCGCUAGUAAUCGCGAAUCAGCAUGUCGCGGUGAAUACGUUCUCGGGUCUUGUACACACCGCCCGUCACACCAUGGAAGUGUGUUGCACCAGAAGUAGGUAGUCUAACCUUCGGGAAGGCGCUUACCACGGUGUGAUCCAUGACUGGGGUGAAGUCAUAACAAGGUAACCGUA